AAGUGCUAAAGAAAAAUCGCCGUUAAAGCAGUUUUCUUUUUCACUGUCUUUUUCUUUUCGCAGGGAACCAAGCUGUUCCUGCGAGGGCCACCUCCUCAGGAAGACCCCGCAGCUCUCCCGAGGCGCUUCUGCAGGAAGCAGCGCCAGUUUCGACAACCCGGGCCUUCCCCUUCCAGUGCCUCCGGGGGUUCCGGCGUCUCGGGCGCUGCUGUUUUCCGGGAAGGGCAGGCGCGCUGGGCCUUGGGGAGCUGCGCUCGGCGGGCGGACUCGGGGAAUCAUGGAAGCUGAUAAAGACAACACACAACAAAUUCUUAAGGAGCAUUCGCCAGAUGAAUUUAUAAAAGAUGAACAAAAUAAGGUAAAAAGGAAAUUACUGGGUAUUAUUAAAAAUUAUUUUAUAUCUAUUAGUUUUGCAGUAAGGUUGUUUUGUAUGUCUUUGUCCAACAUUACCUUG
rnacentral:sRNA from 1 species